rnacentral:rRNA from 1 species
ACUCCGGGAAACCGGGGCUAAUACCCGGAUGGUUGUUUGACCGCAUGGUUCAAACAUAAAAGGUGGCUUCGGCUACCACUUACAGAUGGACCCGCGGCGCAUUAGCUAGUUGGUGAGGUAACGGCUCACCAAGGCAACGAUGCGUAGCCGACCUGAGAGGGUGAUCGGCCACACUGGGACUGAGACACGGCCCAGACUCCUACGGGAGGCAGCAGUAGGGAAUCUUCCGCAAUGGACGAAAGUCUGACGGAGCAACGCCGCGUGAGUGAUGAAGGUUUUCGGAUCGUAAAGCUCUGUUGUUAGGGAAGAACAAGUACCGUUCGAAUAGGGCGGUACCUUGACGGUACCUAACCAGAAAGCCACGGCUAACUACGUGCCAGCAGCCGCGGUAAUACGUAGGUGGCAAGCGUUGUCCGGAAUUAUUGGGCGUAAAGGGCUCGCAGGCGGUUUCUUAAGUCUGAUGUGAAAGCCCCCGGCUCAACCGGGGAGGGUCAUUGGAAACUGGGGAACUUGAGUGCAGAAGAGGAGAGUGGAAUUCCACGUGUAGCGGUGAAAUGCGUAGAGAUGUGGAGGAACACCAGUGGCGAAGGCGACUCUCUGGUCUGUAACUGACGCUGAGGAGCGAAAGCGUGGGGAGCGAACAGGAUUAGAUACCCUGGUAGUCCACGCCGUAAACGAUGAGUGCUAAGUGUUAGGGGG